AUCGGACAUGUUGGCUGGAUUCAUAACGAGUAUAGCUUUAAUUGAAUAUCUUACAUGUGUAACUUAAUGAAAGUUUGAAUUUUAUAGCAUUUUAUUUGAAUCUGGCGCUCUGCAUUUUCCCUGGCAAUUGGCCAGUUGAGACAUUUGCAUCCCGCCUAUCCUUAAGAGGUUUUAAUCAGCUGUCAAAUCGGUAAACAUCAGCUCUUUUCAGGAAAAGUACACCGGCCUACUCGCGUUUCAAGUUCA